ensembl:snRNA U6 U6 spliceosomal RNA
GUGCUCACUUCAGCACACAAACUAAAAUUGGAAUGAUACAGAGACAGUUAGCACGGCCCCUGUGCAAGGAUGACACACAAAUUCUUGAAGUGUUCCAUAUUUUU